UGGGGAAUUUUGGACAAUGGGGGAAACCCUGAUCCAGCCAUCCCGCGUGUGCGAUGAAGGCCUUCGGGUUGUAAAGCACUUUUGGCAGGAAAGAAACGUCGCGGGUUAAUACCCCGCGAAACUGACGGUACCUGCAGAAUAAGCACCGGCUAACUACGUGCCAGCAGCCGCGGUAAUACGUAGGGUGCAAGCGUUAAUCGGAAUUACUGGGCGUAAAGCGUGCGCAGGCGGUUCGGAAAGAAAGAUGUGAAAUCCCAGAGCUUAACUUUGGAACUGCAUUUUUAACUACCGGGCUAGAGUGUGUCAGAGGGAGGUGGAAUUCCGCGUGUAGCAGUGAAAUGCGUAGAUAUGCGGAGGAACACCGAUGGCGAAGGCAGCCUCCUGGGAUAACACUGACGCUCAUGCACGAAAGCGUGGGGAGCAAACAGGAUUAGAUACCCUGGUAGUCCACGCCCUAAACGAUGUCAACUAGCUGUUGGGGGCCUUCGGGCCUUGGUAGCGCAGCUAACGCGUGAAGUUGACCGCCUGGGGAGUACGGUCGCAAGAUUAAAAACUUAAAUGAAUUGAACGGGGGUGCAUAGC
rnacentral:rRNA from 1 species